AAGUUACAGCUGAGUUGAAUAUUUCCUUGAAACAUCAAAUAUCCUGUUUGAUCAUGUACUUGGUCUUGUGCAGAGACGAUCGGUUGCCAACUCCAGCAACCGUGGUAAGAAGGAGUUGGAGCACCGCUCAGGGAGGAAACCUAUCAUUUACCGGGUGACCGAGCUAAGGGAUAAGGGUGCUUCAUUACCGGUGGUUGACGUGUACCCGGUGACAUACGACAUCAACCAGCCUAAAGCUGCUGAGCAUUAUGUANNNNN
rnacentral:lncRNA from 1 species